rnacentral:tRNA from 5 species
GGGGACAUAGCUCAGCUGGUAGAGCGCCUGCCUUGCACGCAGGAGGUCAGGGGUUCGACUCCCCUUGUCUCCACCA